GGCUCCCUGUAAUAUUCUAAAUAGGGAGUCGGACCUGCCCGGUGAAUUUUUUUAACGGCCGCGGUACUCUGACCGUGCAAAAGGUAGCAUAAUCAUUUGCCUUAUAACUGAAGGCUAGUAUGAAUGGUUUGACAAGAAUGUAACUGUCUCUUUGUAAUUAAUUAGAAUUUUAUUUUCAGGUGAAGAAGCCUGCAUAUAAUUGAAAGACAAGAAGACCCUAUCGAGCUUAAAAGAAGUUAAUAAGUGUAACCUUUGAUAAAAUAUUAAUGUUAUUUAUUAAAAAUUUUAGUUGGGGCGACUGAGGAACAAGAAAAGCUUCCUUUAUAGUUAAAUUAAAGCAGACAAGCAAUGAUCCAGAAAUUUUGAUUAAAGGAAUUAGUUACCGUAGGGAUAACAGCAUUAUCCUUUUUGAGAGUUCAUAUCGAAAAGAGGGUUUGUGACCUCGAUGUUGGACCAGAAUAUCCUAAAGAUGUAGCCGUCUUUAAGGGUUGGUCUGUUCGACCAUUAAAAUUCUACGUGAU
rnacentral:rRNA from 1 species